UCAAAUCAAGCUAGAGAUUGGUCGGAACGAUAACUUCUGGAUACAUUUAUUGAAGGUCUUAUUCCAGAGAUUCGGUGUGAAGUUAAGGCUCGUCAACCCCGCACUAUGAUAGCUGUGAUCUCAUUCGCACAUAUACAUGAGAAAAAAAUCAACAGGGAAAAUCAUGGAAACAGAAGUGACAACAACCAGAUGAUUAGUAAGCCACUGGCCCCA
rnacentral:lncRNA from 1 species